rnacentral:rRNA from 1 species
UACGGGGGGGGUAAGCGUUGUUCGGAAUUACUGGGCGUAAAGGGCUCGUAGGCGGCCAACUAAGUCAGACGUGAAAUCCCUCAGCUUAACUGGGGAACUGCGUCUGAUACUGGAUGGCUUGGAUCCGGGAGAGGGAUGCGGAAUUCCAGGUGUAGCGGUGAAAUGAGUAGAUAUCUGGAGGAACACCGGUGGCGAAGGCGGCAUCCUGGACCGGUAUUGACGCUGAGGAGCGAAAGCCAGGGGAGCAAACGGG